rnacentral:lncRNA from 1 species
GUACUUCCCUCAACCCCUCACAAACAAUCAAGUUUAUAAUGUGUGCACAACACCUGAAGUGCAAAUAUCUUCCAUCUAGAACACAUCCAUCACUACCCCAAGCAAUCAACUUCCUCUUAAGAUAAGCAAUAGCCACAUCAUUAGAGCUUGCAUUAUCAACAGUGAUUGUAAAAAAUUUCUCAAUUCCCCAAUCUUGCAAACAAGUCUCAAUCAUUUUCCCAAUCGUUUCUCCUUUGUGAUUUGGAACAACACAAAAAUUUAAAAUAUGCUUAUUAAGUGUCCAAUCAGAAUCAAUAAAAUGUGCUGUAAGAGACAUGUAAUUAACAUUUUGAAUGGAAGUCCAAGUGUCAGUUGUGAGGGAAACCCUUUGACGGUGAAAAGAGAAGACAUCUCUCAAUUUCAGUUUUUCAUCUAAAUACAAUUAUAGAUGUCUCUAACAAGAGUCCUCCAAGAUGGAGCCUUAAAUUGAGGACAUGCUACACUACAAAAGAGCUUAAAACCCUGACCUUCAACAAACCUAAAAGGUAAUUCAUCCAAUACAAUCAUCUUAGCACAUGCAAAUCUACACUCUUCUUUACUUCGACCAAUAGCAGCAAGAUUGCUCCCGCCACCCUCUUUUUUAUUCUCAAAAGAAAGGAUUUUUUUGCUUCUUAUCCACCAAUCUACCAGGAUACUUCUUACAUUGAUUUGUCAAAUGAUUACCCAAUGUGCUAGUACUACACUUCUUAGUGCCACAAGCAUAAUCUACCCCACAGUAGUUACAUUUACACCUAACAUCUGGAUCAUCCCUUGAUCCUAAAAUCGUAAAGUGAUCACAAACAUAUGAAGCUAAUCUAUUAGAUUUUCGUUUACCUAGUGUUGACGGUGCACGUGGAGGAAGACUUGCUUGCAAAUCUAUGUCAUUUGAUAGAGAUUCUGUACCAAGUACUUCACAAUCAUCCAUAUCUACAAACAUAUUCCACCAAAAUUAUAAAACAACCAAAUAGAUGUAUUUAAUAAAAAUAACAAUGCAAUACAAUAAAUAAAUAAUACAACACCUAUGGCUGUGUCCAUUUCCUAAGCAUAAUCUAUCACCAAAGGUCGCUCUGAAUGAAGACAAACAGGAUCGUCCUUGAAAUUAUCUGUAGCUGCCAAUCAUGACCAACCAUUGAUGUUGAAGGGAGAAAUGUUUUUAGAAGCUUAGCAGAGGAAUUCAAACGGAAAACAAAAACAUAAACAAAAUAGAUAAACAAAUAAUUCAAUUCCCUAGAUACAAUGAACUACAUUUGUAUUUCAAUAAAUUUGGGACUAAAGCAUGAUUACAUCACUUCUUUUUUCCAAUGAAAUAAAAUAUUUAGCAACCAAAGUAAAUUAUGUUCAAUUAUCCUAUUUAGCAACCAAAGUUUUGAGGCAGAUAGGUCGACCAGAAUUAAUGUUGAUAAGGUUACAGACUUCAAGUUAGUGGAAUAAACUAACAGGGAAAAUUUAAAGAAGAAAACCUAACAAACCCUGCUAAUACAAGACACCACUGGUUACUGAAACUUAGUGGGAAAGAGAAAUUUCAUUUGUCAUAUGAAUGUAUCCCAAUAUUUGCACACUGAGUAGAGAGCCCGCUUUUCUGUGCUUACAUAUAGCAAUUGGAUAAACGACCUAGCUUCACCUCUCAAUCGAAGCAUAAUAAGCCAAUUGAGUAUGGUUUGUAAGCAUGGUGUAUUCAGGUUGAUAUAUACACAACAGGAAUAACAUAGAUGCAGUGUGGUAUUCUGGGAAACUAAUUUCUAUGAUUAAAAUGGACCUCAAGAUAAAAUUGAUAUAAAGGAACAAAGUGGGCCAAAAAAUCAAUUUCUUUAGAAAAAAGUGGACCCUUUCUCAGAAAGAAACCUUGCACUUGAUAUUUUAGAUUCGUGCAGCCGUUUAGCCCCUUCAAACACAUAUACAAACAAUUUGAUAUCCAUAUAAAGCCAUGAACAAAAAUACAGUUUCAUGGAAAAACAUAUCACACCGAGGAAAAACGAUA